AGAGUUUGAUCAUGGCUCAGAAUGAACGCUGGCGGCGCGCCUAAUACAUGCAAGUCGAGCGAGAAGACGUAGCAAUACGUUUGUAAAGCGGCGAACGGGUGAGGAAUACAUGGGUAACCUACCCUCGAGUGGGGAAUAACUAGCCGAAAGGUUAGCUAAUACCGCGUACGCUCCUUGGACUUCGGUUCAGGGAGGAAAGCGAUACCGUGGGUAUCGCGCUCUUGGAUGGGCUCAUGUCCUAUCAGCUUGUUGGUGAGGUAACGGCUCACCNGGCUUCGACGGGGUAGCUGGUCUGAGAGGACGAUCAGCCACACUGGCACUGCGACACGGGCCAGACUCCUACGGGAGGCAGCAGUAAGGAAUAUUGCGCAAUGGGCGAAAGCCUGACGCAGCGACGCCGCGUGGGGGAUGAAGGUCUUCGGAUUGUAAACCCCUUUCGGGAGGGAAGAUGGAACGAGCAAUCGUUCGGACGGUACCUCCAGAAGCAGCCACGGCUAACUUCGUGCCAGCAGCCGCGGUAAUACGAAGGUGGCAAGCGUUAUUCGGAUUUACUGGGCGUACAGGGAGCGUAGGCGGUUCGGUAAGCCCUCUGUGAAAUCUUCAGGCUUAACCUGGAAAAGUCGGAGGGGACUGCUGGGCUAGAGGACGGGAGAGGAGCGCGGAAUUCCCGGUGUAGCGGUGAAAUGCGUAGAGAUCGGGAGGAAGGCCGGUGGCGAAGGCGGCGCUCUGGAACGUUUCUGACGCUGAGGCUCGAAAGCGUGGGGAGCAAACAGGAUUAGAUACCCUAGUAGUCC
rnacentral:rRNA from 1 species